CCUACGGGAGGCAGCAGUGGGGAAUAUUGCACAAUGGGCGAAAGCCUGAUGCAGCAACGCCGCGUGAGCGAUGAAGGCCUUCGGGUCGUUAAGCUCUGUCUUCAAGGAAGAUAAUGACGGUACUUGAGGAGGAAGCCCCGGCUAACUACGUGCCAGCAGCCGCGGUAAUACGUAGGGGGCUAGCGUUAUCCGGAAUUACUGGGCGUAAAGGGUGCGUAGGUGGUAUCUUAAGUCAGCGGUGAAAGGCUACGGCUCAACCGUAGUAAGCCGUUGAAACUGGGAAACUUGAGUGCGGGAGAGGUACGUGGAAUGCGUGGUGUAGCGGUGAAAUGCAUAGAUAUUAGGAGGAACACCAGUUGCGAAGGCAGCUCUCUGG
rnacentral:rRNA from 1 species